GCAGAGCUGACAUGGGGCUGAGACACAGAGGAUGCAGAGAAACUACAUUGGGUCUGAGGACAGUGGCUGGCUGGAUCUGGUUUACUUUUUUGUAUUCCCAGAAGCAGGAUGAAGGAUCAGCCCAGUUUCCCAGGAAAUGUGUGCGCUGUGGAGGCCGCUUGCUGUGGUCUCUGGGUUGUAGCAGAGCUCAAAGAGCUCAGAGUUAGAGAGAGGGGGGAGAACGGCCAAGCUACAGGUCAGACAGUCUUGGCAAAGAGAACACAGGAUGCCUCAGACACAGCUGCCCAAGGACGGAUAACUACCUCCCAGGGGGAAGAGUCCAGACCCCAGAAACCAUGACAACCUUGACUCCCCUGAGGCAUUGGCUGCAGCAGGUUGCAGGCCUCACCAAAUCCGUUCCUGGUAAGGCCAAGGAAGAGAUGCUCCCCUUGUCUUGUCAUGCGGGCUUCCAAGGAAGUCUUGGAUUGGCUUGGCUCCCUGCAAGCACGCGUAGAUAAAGUCAUUACCUUCCUAAUGCAUGUAUCAGACAAGUGGGAUUUGAAAUUAAAAGCAUGGCCAAGACAGCUCAGUCAGUCAACAGGGUCUAAAGCAAGGGAGUGAGGAUUGGAAAAGAAGAAAAACAAUUAGACAAAAUUAUAGCAUGACUCCAGUCUGCACUGAGGCUGAAAUAGCCUAGAUACAUCCAAAAACCAUGGUCAGCUCUUAGAUCAAAGACAAAGCAAUCAAGCCAAGUAGUGAAUAAAGAGAUCACACGGGAUAGUGAUUAAGUGGUCAGCAAAGAGAUCACACAAGGCAUUAAUUCAGCAAAGCAGUAAACAAAGCCCCGUGGUCACCGUUUCUGACAUGCUUAGCUGAGCCGACUUCCUUGUUCGAGCCCAGUGACAAAUGCCAAAUUCCUAGAAGCGGCACCAAGAGCCCUCAACAAAAGCAUAUUACUACUAGGUCAGCGACAUGGUUCACUGGGUAAAAGCACUUGCAGCUAAGACUGUGUACUGGUUUUGUGUGUCAACUUGAC